AUUGAACGCUGGCGGCAGGCCUAACACAUGCAAGUCGAGCGGCAGCGGGAAAGUAGCUUGCUACUUUUGCCGGCGAGCGGCAGACGGGUGAGUAAUGCCUGGGGAUCUGCCCAGUCGAGGGGGAUAACUACUGGAAACGGUAGCUAAUACCGCAUACGCCCUACGGGGGAAAGCAGGGGACCUUCGGGCCUUGCGCGAUUGGAUGAACCCAGGUGGGAUUAGCUAGUUGGUGAGGUAAUGGCUCACCAAGGCGACGAUCCCUAGCUGGUCUGAGAGGAUGAUCAGCCACACUGGAACUGAGAAACGGGCCAGACUCCUACGGGAGGCAGCAGUGGGGAAUAUUGCACAAUGGGGGAAACCCUGAUGCAGCCAUGCCGCGUGUGUGAAGAAGGCCUUCGGGUUGUAAAGCACUUUCAGCGAGGAGGAAAGGUUGGUAGCUAAUAACUGCCAGCUGUGACGUUACUCGCAGAGGAAGCACCGGCUAACUCCGUGCCAGCCGCCGCCGUAACAC
rnacentral:rRNA from 1 species